UACGAAGGGGGCUAGCGUUGUUCGGCAUUACUGUGCGUAAAGCGCGCGCAGGCGGUCUUCCAAGUCAGUGGUGAAAGCCUGGAGCUCAACUCCAGACCUGCCAUGGAAACUGUUAGACUUGAGUACGAGAGAGGUGAGUGGAAUUCCCAGUGUAGAGGUGAAAUUCGUAGAUAUUGGGAAGAACACCAGUGGCGAGGGCGGCUCACUGGCUCGUAACUGACGCUCAGGCGCGACAGCGUGGGGAUCAAACAGG
rnacentral:rRNA from 1 species